GUGGGGAAUUUUGGACAAUGGGCGCAAGCCUGAUCCAGCAAUGCCGCGUGUGUGAAGAAGGCCUUCGGGUUGUAAAGCACUUUUGGCAGGAAAGAAAUAGUGCGUGCUAAUACCAUGCGCGAAUGACGGUACCUGCAGAAUAAGCACCGGCUAACUACGUGCCAGCAGCCGCGGUAAGACGUAGGGUGCAAGCGUUAAUCGGAAUUACUGGGCGUAAAGCGUGCGCAGGCGGUUUUGUAAGACAGGUGUGAAAUCCCCGGGCUCAACCUGGGAACUGCACUUGUGACUGCAAGGCUAGAGUGUGUCAGAGGGAGGUGGAAUUCCGCGUGUAGCAGUGAAAUGCGUAGAGAUCAGAAGGAACAUCCGUGGCGAAGGCGGCAUCCUGGGCCAACACUGACACUGAGGCACGAAAGCGUGGGGAGCAAACAGGAUUAGAUACCCGUGUAGUCC
rnacentral:rRNA from 1 species